GUGGGGAAUAUUGGACAAUGGGGGGAACCCUGAUCCAGCCAUGCCGCGUGUGUGAAGAAGGCCUUUUGGUUGUAAAGCACUUUAAGCGAGGAGGAGGCGCCCUAGAUUAAUACUCUAGGAGCGUGGACGUUACUCGCAGAAUAAGCACCGGCUAACUCUGUGCCAGCAGCCGCGGUAAUACAGAGGGUGCAAGCGUUAAUCGGAUUUACUGGGCGUAAAGCGCGCGUAGGUGGCCAAUUAAGUCAAAUGUGAAAUCCCCGAGCUUAACUUGGGAAUUGCAUUCGAUACUGGUUGGCUAGAGUAUGGGAGAGGAUGGUAGAAUUCCAGGUGUAGCGGUGAAAUGCGUAGAGAUCUGGAGGAAUACCGAUGGCGAAGGCAGCCAUCUGGCCUAAUACUGACACUGAGGUGCGAAAGCAUGGGGAGCAAACAGGAUUAGAAACCCGGGUAGUCC
rnacentral:rRNA from 1 species